UGGGGAAUAUUGGACAAUGGGGGCAACCCUGAUCCAGCAAUGCCGCGUGUGUGAAGAAGGCCUGAGGGUUGUAAAGCACUUUCAGUGGGGAGGAGGAUAUGCGGGUUAAGAGCUAGCAGAUUGGACGUUACCCACAGAAGAAGCACCGGCUAACUCCGUGCCAGCAGCCGCGGUAAUACGGAGGGUGCAAGCGUUAAUCGGAAUUACUGGGCGUAAAGGGUGCGUAGGUGGUUUAGUAAGUUAUCUGUGAAAUCCCUGGGCUUAACCUAGGCUGGUCAGAUAAGACUGUUAGACUCGAGUAUAGUAGAGGGUAGUGGAAUUUCCGGUGUAGCGGUGAAAUGCGUAGAGAUCGGAAGGAACACCAGUGGCGAAGGCGGCUACCUGGACUAAUACUGACACUGAGGCACGAAAGCGUGGGGAGCAAACAGGAUUAGAUACCCGCGUAGUCC
rnacentral:rRNA from 1 species